CUGUAUUUCUCUCUUGGGAAGCACAUUUUUGCAGAGAGGCUUUCUUCACCCUUUGAACACGAAUGCACUUUGAUCCAUGAGCCCUAAACUGUUUUGGGACAUCUGAAGCACGACUUCCUUGUGAAGCCCUGGGCCUGUAAUGCAGAGAACACACAGGAUGAACAUUUUACUCUACGUCCUAUGCAGUGCAAUUAAAGAUAGCGAGAGUGCAUGAUGGCAUUUUUUAGGCACUAUGUCUUUCCAUCUUACAAACUUCCAGUGAGUAAGGCCAAAAGAAGACAGAGAGAAUGGAGAUUUCUGUAAGAAAAUGGAGACAAGAAACAACUUCCUAGGGCAGAAGUACAGGGAGAAGCAAUGUAACCAACCCCAAUGGCUACGGUGUGUUUGGAUAUACGUGCCUUGAGGAAAGUUUAAUACAAAUCACUGUUCGUGCCUUAAUGUAAUUUGACUGUUGAAUAGCAUCUGCUGAGUGCAUAAACUCAGAACUUCAGAAGCAGAUACUACUAAACACUGAGAAGUUCCAGAUAUGGUGUCGAUUUCCUCCUCCAGUACUCCUAGAUUUACCUGAAUGUACUGUUAACAGAACUUUAGGCUCAAAUGGAAUAAUAAAUCUAAAGAUGCU
rnacentral:lncRNA from 1 species